CUGGAUUCUGGAUUUUGUCACAGACGUCAAAGACGAUCAGGAGAGAUACACGACCAGAUACGAGAGGCACUUUAAACAGGCAGGUGACAAGAGCAGACCGGACGGUUGUGACUAGUGAAGGUGGAAGGUAAUGGAUCGCCAAGCCAUAAA